rnacentral:rRNA from 1 species
AGUGAACGCUGGCGGUAGGCCUAACACAUGCAAGUCGAACGGCAGCACAGUAAGAGCUUGCUCUUACGGGUGGCGAGUGGCGGACGGGUGAGGAAUACAUCGGAAUCUACUUUUUCGGGGGGGAUAACGUAGGGAAACUUACGAUAAUACCGCAUACGACCUACGGGUGAAAGCAGGGGAUCUUCGGACCUUGCGCGACUGAAUGAGCCGAUGUCGGAUUAGCUAGUUGGCGGGGUAAAGGCCCACCAAGGCGACGAUCCGUAGCUGGUCUGAGAGGAUGAUCAGCCACACUGGAACUGAGACACGGUCCAGACUCCUACGGGAGGCAGCAGUGGGGAAUAUUGGACAAUGGGCGCAAGCCUGAUCCAGCCAUACCGCGUGGGUGAAGAAGGCCUUCGGGUUGUAAAGCCCUUUUGUUGGGAAAGAAAAGCAGCAGGUUAAUACCCCGCUGUUCUGACGGUACCCAAAGAAUAAGCACCGGCUAACUUCGUG